rnacentral:rRNA from 1 species
AAAAACUUUCAACAACGGAUCUCUUGGUUCUGGCAUCGAUGAAGAACGCAGCGAAAUGCGAUAAGUAAUGUGAAUUGCAGAAUUCAGUGAAUCAUCGAAUCUUUGAACGCACAUUGCGCCCCUCGGUAUUCCGGGGGGCAUGCCUGUUCGAGCGUCAUU